rnacentral:lncRNA from 1 species
GGGAGAGAGAAAGUGCUGGGAGCUGGGAACCUCCCCCCAAGUCCCCACAUCAGAAGAGGACACUUUGGGACCGACCCCCCCCAUCUCCCCCAGGGCCUUCAUCCUUUGGGGUGGCAGCAGUGCUCACGAGUGCCUGUUUCCCUCCCACCCGCGAGGGCACCGCUCCCGCUCCUCCAAGCCCUCCUCCCGCCUCCUUCCGCAGGUGCUGCAGGAGAAGGUACUGCUGCGGGAACGGCAGGCACGGGGGUUGUCAGAGGAAAGGCCCCGCCCAUCUCGAGGCCUGUCUCUUGGUCACCCACAGCACCCUCGCAGGCUCCUCUCUCUGGGUGGGGGCCCGCAAGGGCCAUCCUAUUUCCCAUUUCCAAUCCCCGCUUUUCUCUAUUUGUCCCUUCCCAACAGCCACUGUCAGUCCUGCGGGCCUCUAAGAGUUAGCUCUCCUCUGAUUGGCAGGUGGGCCUGUCUGUCACAGAUGUGUCCCGCCCCACCCAAGCCCAAGGACAGUUCAGGGUCUUCUUGGUUUGACUACACAGAUGCCUGUUCAAGAGUCUCCGGCAGUCCCGGUUCUGGGACUUCCCCCAAAUCAGGCAUGUGUCUGUGGCAUGUUGGGAGGUCCUCUGUCCUAUGAUGGAGGCGCCCUCCUCCCCUGGGUCCCCACCCCUCCUCUUUCUUGCCCUCAGGGGCUACCCUCUCAAGCGUCCUCACAGUAGCCCGGGGGAGGUCCUUGCCCUGCUCAGCUUCUAUUUCCUAAACGGUAAAGCUCAGGGAGGAGAAAAUGGGGGAAAAGGAGACAGACUAACAUCUACGGGACCUCCUGUGGGUCCCUUUCCCCUACACUUCUCUCUUCUAAGAAAGAGGAAGUGACUUACCGGAAGUCAGGCACGUGAGGAGCAGCGAGGAGUCCGGCUGGAGUCCGGCUCCUGACCCCGGGCCAGGGUUCCCAGCCCAGGCCUGUCUGAGGCUGCUGCCACCGUUUAGCCGCGGGAAGGGGUCCAGAGCCUUUAGCCAUUGGAGUGGAUCUUGCCGUUUCCUCACUUGCCCCAAAAAGAUGCAGCUGCCCCGUCCCCCAGAAAAGGCUCCUUUGACACAGGCAAUGACUUCUCAUUCAUUUAUUCGUCCAAUCACUAAGUAUA